rnacentral:rRNA from 1 species
CCCUUAGAGUUUGAUCCUGGCUCAAAAUCAACGCUGGCGGCGUGCCUCAGACAUGCAAGUCAAACGAUUAAACUCGUCUUCGGACGAGAUAUAAAGUGGCGCACGGGUGAGUAACACGUAGGUAAUCUACCUUUGAGUGGGGAAUAACUUAGGGAAACUUAAGCUAAUACCGCAUAAUGCAGCGGCACCUUCGGGUGACAGUUGUUAAAGGAGCAAUCCGCUUAAAGAGGAGCCUGCGGCAUAUUAGGUAGUUGGUAAGGUAAUGGCUUACCAAGCCUGCGAUCUGUAACCGACCUGAGAGGGUGGUCGGUCACACUGACACUGAAUAACGGGUCACACUCCUACGGGAGGCAGCAGUCGGGAAUUUUGGGCAAUGGGCGAAAGCCUGACCCAGCAACGCCGCGUGAAGGAUGAAUUAUUUCGGUAUGUAAACUUCGAAAGAAUGGGAAGAAUAAAUGACGGUACCAUUUAUAAGGUCCGGCUAACUACGUGCCAGCAGCCGCGGUAAUACGUAGGGACCAAGCGUUGUUCGGAUUUACUGGGCGUAAAGGGCGCGUAGGCGGCGUGUUAAGUCAGCUGUGAAAUCUCCGAGUUUAACUCGGAACGGUCAGCUGAUACUGAUGUGCUAGAGUGCAGGAGGGGG